rnacentral:rRNA from 1 species
CCAGCCCGCUCAGAAACUCAAAUGAAUUGACGGGGCCCGGCACAAGCGGUGGAGCAUGUGGUUAAUUCGAUGGUACGCGAGGAACCCUACCAGGGCUUGACAUACGCUGGAAUGGGCGGGAGACCGUCCAGCCUUUCGGGCCGGCGUACAGGUGCUGCAUGGCUGUCGUCAGCUCGUGCUGUGAAGUGUCGGGUUAAGUCCCAUAACGAGCGCAACCCUACCUUUAGUUGCCAUCAGGUAAUGCUGGGGACUCUAAAGGAACUGCCUACGCAAGUAGUGAGGAAGGCGGGGAUGACGUCAAAUCAGCACGGCCCUUACGUCCAGGGCUACACACGUGCUACAAUGGCCGAUACAGAGGGCAGCUACCUGGUGACAGGAUGCAAAUCUCCAAAGUCGGUCUCAGUUCGGAUCGGAGUCUGCAACCCGACUCCGUGAAGUUGGAUUCGCUAGUAAUCGCGCAUCAGCCAUGGCGCGGUGAAUACGUUCCCGGGCCUU